UAAAACAUUAGUGUCUCGGUGUGGUGCUUCCUUUGUCGUAGUUGUGUUUCGAAGGUGUUUCAAAGAAGAAGAUAGUUCUCCGCUCUCCACCGUCUUCCUCCACUCUCCACCGUCCUCCACCGCCGUGCACAUCUUUUCCAUCGUUCUUCCUCACUUCUUCACUGUCUCAGGAGGUGCAGUGCUUUCCUUUGUCGCUUGGUCGUUUCUCAGAGGAGAAGAUCGUUCUCCACUCUCUAUUGUCCUCCACCAUCGCUACACAUCCUUUUCCAUUUUUCUUCUUCACUGUCUCAUGAAAACUUCCUCCACCACCGCUUAAGCAACCGUUACAUAGCCAUUGCAAUUAGCGUUCAGAUUUGCCACUGACAAGUAAUCGUGUGUUCAAUUUUCAUGCUCCUCUUUUCAUAUUAGGUUUUUUCCUCUUUCAGUGUACUUUCUUUAGUUUUUAGUUUCGGUCUUUGUUUUGCAUUGAAUAUAUAUAUCACAGAUGAUGUCUGUUCAUUUUUAUUUUCUAACUA